rfam:Ipomoea nil DNA, scaffold: scaffold1525, cultivar: Tokyo-kokei standard.
GUUGCUUUGGCUGAGUGGUUAAGGCGUGUGCCUGCUAAGUACAUGGGAUUUCCACGUGAGAGUUCAAAUUUGUUUGGCAACG